AUGAGUGGCGAACGGGUGAGUAACACGUGAGUAACCUGCCCUCUUCUUUGGGAUAACGCCCGGAAACGGGUGCUAAUACUGGAUAUUCACUGAUCUUCGCAUGGGGGUUGGUGGAAAGGUUUUUCUGGUGGGGGAUGGGCUCGCGGCCUAUCAGCUUGUUGGUGGGGUGAUGGCCUACCAAGGCUUUGACGGGUAGCCGGCCUGAGAGGGUGACCGGUCACAUUGGGACUGAGAUACGGCCCAG
rnacentral:rRNA from 1 species